rnacentral:rRNA from 1 species
UUGGAGAGUUUGAUCCUGGCUCAGGACGAACGCUGGCGGCGUGCUUAACACAUGCAAGUCAAACGAUGAACCACUUCGGUGGGGAUUAGUGGCGAACGGGUGAGUAACACGUGGGCAAUCUGCCCUGCACUCUGGGACAAGCCCUGGAAACGGGGUCUAAUACCGGAUACUGAUCCUCGCAGGCAUCUGCGAGGUUCGAAAGCUCCCGGCGGUGCAGGAUGAGCCCGCGGCCUAUCAGCUAGUUGGUGAGGUAACGGCUCACCAAGGCGAACGACGGGUAGCCGGCCUGAGAGGGCGACCGGCCACACUGGGACUGAGACACGGCCCAGACUCCCUACGGGAGGCAGCAGUGGGGAAUAUUGCACAAUGGGCGAAAGCCUGAUGCAGCGACGCCGCGUUGAGGGAUGACGGCCUUCGGGUUGUAAACCUCUUUCAGCAGGGAAGAAGCGAAAGUGACGGUACCUGCAGAAGAAGCGCCGGCUAACUACGUGCCAGCAGCCGCGGUAAUAACGUAGGGCGCAAGCGUUGUCCGGAAUUAUUGGGCGUAAAGAGCUCGUAGGCGGCUUGUCACGUCGGUUGUGAAAGCCCGGGGCUUAACCCCGGGUCUGCAGUCGAUACGGGCAGGCUAGAGUUCGGUAGGGGAGAUCGGAAUUCCUGGUGUAGCGGUGAAAUGCGCAGAUAUCAGGAGGAACACCGGUGGCGAAGGCGGAUCUCUGGGCCGAUACUGACGCUGAGGAGCGAAAGCGUGGGGAGCGAACAGGAUUAGAUACCCUGGUAGUCCACGCCGUAAACGGUGGGCCUGUGUGGGCAACAUUCCACGUUGUCCGUGCCGCAGCUAACGCAUUAAG